ensembl:lncRNA
UUAUUACCACGCCUCUUUGAUAGAGGGACCCGGCAACACAAUGGCUGAAAUAACAGGGUGUACACAGCAAUCACGUUAAGUGCGAGCACAAGUAAAACAACGACAUCUCCAUAAAGCAGAAGGCUCGAGAGCCGUCGUCACAAUAAGAGCGUGGCUCCGUGAAGGGGAACACAACAUCAGCUUUUUGUUUUGGUUUUAAACGUCUCCUGUGAUCUUCAACGUGGCGAUCUGAAACAGUGGGUUCAUUACACUAUAAAUCUUCAGCAUCUCAAAUGUACCAGUUCCAACGAAAGCCCGUUGCAGCGCAUUGGCAGAUGAAGACACAGACAGUCCCAAGGGAACAGGACAGAAUGUAACAACCACAAGAUGGAUGCCUUCAGGGGACGCUUCUCCAGCCUAUGAAGAAGAACAUUUCUCCUGCUUAUGUCUGCAGGGUACUGACGCAACUUUGGAAAAGGCGUGAAUAAAUCCGAAACAAAUUCCCAGCCCAAUUAACUUUAAUAUCGCUAAUUAAUUUCGUGAAUCCUUUCAUAUUCCGCGUUGUUUGUUCUUAAAAUAAAGCGUUUAGUCAAAUCAGAAAAUAUAAUGCAUUAGCACCAACGGGAACGAAUCCAAUGAUCCUGAAACCAUAAUAUCACCAGCAAUGCUUCAAAAAGGUGUUGCUGUACACGUCUAGAUUGCAAUUCAAUUAUAAAAUCCACCAAACAGACUCAGACUCCACUCUCCAGACUGUGACCUUCGGGUCCCAUUGCAACCAAACAAAGUGCAGUUCAACCAUAACUUUUCAUCAAGUCUCUAAGUGCAUGACCUCCAAUUAAAGGGGUGAUAUUAUGCCACAAGUGUGUGUGAUUAGCCUUUUCAGGCCGUUUUAAUAUCGACCUUUUGCUGUGUUUUAAUUGUACACCUAGAUGCAAGCUGGAUAGAUCAGUCUACCAGCCCACCUAGUGGACUCUAGCAGAUGUUGCUUAUCUAUCCGUCAUACAUCUACUCUAGGUGGACACUCCCACUUGUGAUAAAACACUGGAAAGGGACGAUUUUCAAACGGCUUGUAACGGCUAAUCACACCCACACCUGGUGGCAUCACAUCACCCCUUUAAGCAACGUCUGCUCCCAGAAUAAUUACAUGCCCAAGUUAGCCCACCUGGCCAGUCCCCAGCAGUUCAAAUAUAGGCUGGAUCCUGGAG